AUUGAACGCUGGCGGAAUGCUUUACACAUGCAAGUCGAACGGCAGCACGGACUUCGGUCUGGUGGCGAGUGGCGGACGGGUGAGUAAUACAUCGGAACGUGCCCAAUCGUGGGGGAUAACGUAGCGAAAGCUACGCUAAUACCGCAUACGAUCUAAGGAUGAAAGCGGGGGAUCGCAAGACCUCGCGCGAAUGGAGCGGCCGAUGGCAGAUUAGGUAGUUGGUAGGGUAAAGGCCUACCAAGCCGACGAUCUGUAGCUAGUCUGAGAGGAUGAUCAGCCACACUGGGACUGAGACACGGCCCAGACUCCUACGGGAGGCAGCAGUGGGGAAUUUUGGACAAUGGACGCAAGUCUGAUCCAGCCAUUCCGCGUGCAGGAUGAAGGCCCUCGGGUUGUAAACUGCUUCUGUACAGAACGAAAAGGCUCCGGUUAAUACCUGGGGCUCAUGACGGUACUGUAAGAAUGAGCACCGGCUAACUACGUGCCAGCAGCCGCCGUAAUAC
rnacentral:rRNA from 1 species